CAGACUUUUGACUGGAUCCUCCAGAUCUCCAGUGUGCCAUCAGACCCUCUGCACUGCUCCAUAUCCAAUUCUGCCAAUUAAUCUUGUAGAAGAAACUUCAAAGCAGUCCAAUGUUGAGGAGGUGGUGUUGUCAUCCACGAGCCCGCUCACGGAGCGAGGUUCAGGAGCUUGGACUGGAGGUGCCUGUCAGCCACACCACCCUACCUUGGAG